GUGGAGGUCCAUCAGUGACCAGCUUCAUCCGCCCGCAUUACCACAGCUGGAGUCUGCACAUGCAGGGUUAACCUUGAACAGGAAACCUUGUAGUGUACAACGUUUAGAAAAUGAACUUUGACCACUUCCAGAUACUGCGGGCCAUCGGGAAGCUUUGGAAAGGUAAUAAUGAGGAUCCUGUUUAUCUGUUUGCUGCUCGUGGCCAAGUUUAGAAGACGGCACAUAGACGCCAGCAUGACGUCAAAGGAUUGUGAUAGCGUUAUAAAAAGUAAACAGAUCUACAAUCUUGACAAAAGCUGUAAAGAUACCAACACGUUCAUCCUUGAUAAUCCAACUGAGAUCAAAAACAUUUGUGUUGGGGGAAAAUUUGAUGAAAAACUUCAAAUGACAAAAAGUUCACAGUUGUUAAAUGUGUACUACAGAAUGAGGGAGCCAGAAAACCCAGAUGUCAGUGUGAUGGAAACCACCUCACAUAUGUUGCAGUUGCUUGUGAAGAUUAAUUUCCUGUACACUUUG